rnacentral:rRNA from 1 species
GAGCCCAGAGCCUGAAUCAGCAUGUGUGUUAGUGGAAGCGUCUGGAAAGGCGCGCGAUACAGGGUGAGAGCCCCGUACACAAAAGCGCACAUGCUGUGAGCUCGAUGAGUAGGGCGGGACACGUGGUAUCCUGUCUGAAUAUGGGGGGACCAUCCUCCAAGGCUAAAUACUCCUGACUGACCGAUAGUGAACCAGUACCGUGAGGGAAAGGCGAAAAGAACCCCGGCGAGGGGAGUGAAAAAGAACCUGAAACCGUGUACGUACAAGCAGUGGGAGCCCCACCACCAAAGCAUUCUCUGGUGUUGAAGGCCCUGCAAAGUAGCAUCGCGGUGGCGGAGCGUCGUUUGCGACGCCCAACACACAAAACAAGCGGUGAGUGCUUUGGGGUGGGGUGACUGCGUACCUUUUGUAUAAUGGGUCAGCGACUUAUAUUCUGUAGCAAGGUUAACCGCAUAGGGGAGCCGGAGGGAAACCGAGUCUUAAUUGGGCGUUAAGUUGCAGGGUAUAGACCCGAAACCCGGUGAUCUAGCCAUGGGCAGGUUGAAGGUUGGGUAACACUAACUGGAGGACCGAACCGACUAAUGUUGAAAAAUUAGCGGAUGACCUGUGGCUGGGGGUGAAAGGCCAAUCAAACCGGGAGAUAGCUGGUUCUCCCCGAAAGCUAUUUAGGUAGCGCCUCGUGAAUUCAUCUCCGGGGGUAGAGCACUGUUUCGGCUAGGGGGCCAUCCCGGCUUACCAACCCGAUGCAAACUGCGAAUACCGGAGAAUGUUAUCACGGGAGACACACGGCGGGUGCUAACGUCCGUCGUGAAGAGGGAAACAACCCAGACCGCCAGCUAAGGUCCCAAAGUCAUGGUUAAGUGGGAAACGAUGUGGGAAGGCCCAGACAGCCAGGAUGUUGGCUUAGAAGCAGCCAUCAUUUAAAGAAAGCGUAAUAGCUCACUGGUCGAGUCGGCCUGCGCGGAAGAUGUAACGGGGCUAAACCAUGCACCGAAGCUGCGGCAGCGACGCUUAUGCGUUGUUGGGUAGGGGAGCGUUCUGUAAGCCUGCGAAGGUGGCCUGUGAGGGUUGCUGGAGGUAUCAGAAGUGCGAAUGCUGACAUAAGUAACGAUAAAGCGGGUGAAAAGCCCGCUCGCCGGAAGACCAAGGGUUCCUGUCCAACGUUAAUCGGGGCAGGGUGAGUCGACCCCUAAGGCGAGGCCGAAAGGCGUAGUCGAUGGGAAACGGGUUAAUAUUCCCGUACUUGGUGUUACUGCGAAGGGGGGACGGAGAAGGCUAUGUUGGCCGGGCGACGGUAGUCCCGGUUUAAGCGUGUAGGUGUGUGUUCCAGGUAAAUCCGGUUCACUUUAACACUGAGGCGUGAC